rnacentral:rRNA from 1 species
GAGUUUGAUCAUGGCCAGGAUGAACGCUAGUGGCAGGCUUAAUACAUGCAAGUCGUGGGGCAGCAGGGGUAGCAAUACCCGCUGGCGACCGGCAAACGGGUGCGCAAUACGUACGCAACCUUCCUUUAAGCGGGGAAUAGCCCAGGGAAACUUGGAUUAAUACCCCAUAAUAUGAUGAAAGGGCAUCCUUUUAUUAUUAAAGCUCCGGCACUUAAAGAUGGGCGUACGGCUGAUUAGGUAGUUGGCGGGGUAACGGCCCACCAAGCCUACGAUCAGUAGCUGAUGUGAGAGCAUGAUCAGCCACACGGGCACUGAGACACGGGCCCGACUCCUACGGGAGGCAGCAGUAAGGAAUAUUGGUCAAUGGACGCAAGUCUGAACCAGCCAUGCCGCGUGGAGGAUGAAGGUCCUCUGGAUUGUAAACUUCUUUUAUCUGGGACGAAACACUUCUUUUCUAAGAGGCCUGACGGUACCAGAUGAAUAAGCACCGGCUAACUCCGUGCCAGCAGCGCGGUAA